GGUUACCUCAGGUCAGAGAAGACUACCCGCUGGACUUAAGCAUAUCACUAAGCGGAGGAAAAGAAACUAACUAGGAUUCCCCCAGUAACUGCGAGUGAAGAGGGAAGAGCUCAUCAUUGGAAUCUGGCGGUGUUGCACCGUCCGAGUUGUAGAUGAGGAGUGGUUCRUCUGGACUGCAUGGCGUCCAAGUACAAUAGGCCGUCAGUGGGACAUCAUAGAGGGUGACAAUCCCGUCCUUGAUGCCAAUGUGCAAGUCCAUUACGAUGGCCAUCUCAGAGAGUCGAGCAGUUUGGGAUUUGCUGCUUAAACAUGGGADGUAGAUUCCUUCUAAAGCUAAAUACAGGCAAGAGACCGAUAGAGAACAAGUACCGCAAGGSAAAGAUGAAAUAGCACUCUGUGAAGGGWGUCAAAAGGCGUGAAAUUGUUGCGAGAGAAGCGAUUCAAGUCAGCGUAGCUAGGCCCAUUAAGCCUCUUUGCGCUUUGGACUAGCUUUGCCAGCGGUCUUGUCCUUAGAGACUUGACUUGUAUGUCCAGCCUGGUAUGCACAGGUAGCCCUCCGGGGUCAGUGACAUGGCUGGUGGAAUGGCUUGCAAUCGACCCGUCUUGAAACACGGACCAAGGAGUCUAACAUGUAUGCGAGUAUAAGGGUGGCAAACCYGUAUGCGCAAUGAAAGUGAUUUUCGGUGAUUGAGAAUGGCCUGAUGACCAGACAAGCAAUAUAUGUCCCUCGUACGGCCAUUGCCCAAGUUCCGUGGUAGAUCCCACGAACAUGGAGUUGGAGCAUACAUGCUAGGACCCGAAAGAUGGUGAACUAUGCCUGGACAAAGCGAAGCCAAAGGAAACUCUGGUGGAGGCUUGUAGCGAUUCUGACG
rnacentral:rRNA from 1 species